rnacentral:rRNA from 1 species
GCUGACGAGUGGCGGACGGGUGAGUAAUGUCUGGGAAACUGCCUGAUGGAGGGGGAUAACUACUGGAAACGGUAGCUAAUACCGCAUAACGUCGCAAGACCAAAGAGGGGGACCUUCGGGCCUCUUGCCAUCGGAUGUGCCCAGAUGGGAUUAGCUAGUAGGUGGGGUAACGGCUCACCUAGGCGACGAUCCCUAGCUGGUCUGAGAGGAUGACCAGCCACACUGGAACUGAGACACGGUCCAGACUCCUACGGGAGGCAGCAGUGGGGAAUAUUGCACAAUGGGCGCAAGCCUGAUGCAGCCAUGCCGCGUGUAUGAAGAAGGCCUUCGGGUUGUAAAGUACUUUCAGCGGGGAGGAAGGGAGUAAAGUUAAUACCUUU